rnacentral:rRNA from 1 species
CCUACGGGUGGCAGCAGUGGGGAAUAUUGGGCAAUGGGCGAAAGCCUGACGCAGCGACGCCGCGUGAGGGAUGAAGGUCUUCGGAGCGGAAACCUCUGUCCGCAGGGAAGAACGGUCACUGUGCUAAUCAGCAGUGAAUUGACGGUACCUGCAAAGGAAGCACCGGCUAACGCCGUGCCAGCAGCCGCGGUAAUACGGAGGGUGCGUGCGUUAGUCGGAAUUACUGGGCGUAAAGCGCUCGUAGGCGGUAUGUCAAGUCAGGGGUGAAAGCCCCGCGCUCAACGUGGGAACUGCCUUUGAAACUGGCAAACUGGAGUGUGGGAGAGGAUAGUGGAAUUCCAGGUGUAGGAGUGAAAUCCGUAGAUAUCUGGAGGAACAUCAGUGGCGAAGGCGACUAUCUGGCACAUAACUGACGCUGAGGAGCGAAAGCGUGGGUAGCAAACAGGAUUAGAUACCCGGGUAGUC